UACGAAGGGGGCUAGCGUUGCUCGGAAUUACUGGGCGUAAAGCGCACGUAGGCGGCUUUGUAAGUUAGAGGUGAAAGCCUGGAGCUCAACUCCAGAACUGCCUUUAAAACUGCAUCGCUUGAAUCCAGGAGAGGUGAGUGGAAUUCCGAGUGUAGAGGUGAAAUUCGUAGAUAUUCGGAAGAACACCAGUGGCGAAGGCGGCUCACUGGACUGGUAUUGACGCUGAGGUGCGAAAGCGUGGGGAGCAAACAGG
rnacentral:rRNA from 1 species